rnacentral:rRNA from 1 species
UACAGAGGUCCCAAGCGUUGUUCGGAAUUACUGGGCGUAAAGGGCGCGUAGGCGGUCAGGUCAGUCCCGUGUGAAAUCCCUCGGCUCAACUGAGGAACUGCACGGGAAACUGCCUGGCUUGAGUUCGGGAGAGGGAAGCGGAAUUCCGGGUGUAGCGGUGAAAUGCGUAGAUAUCCGGAGGAACACCGGUGGCGAAGGCGGCAUCCUGGACCAACACUGACGCUGAGGAGCGAAAGCCAGGGGAGCAAACGGG